rnacentral:rRNA from 1 species
UACGUAGGGGGCAAGCGUUGUCCGGAUUUAUUGGGCGUAAAGAGCGUGUAGGCGGUCAGGUAGGUCAGCUGUGAAAACUCGAGGCUCAACCUCGAGACGCCGGUUGAAACCAUCUGGCUAGAGUCCGGAAGAGGAGAGUGGAAUUCCUGGUGUAGCGGUGAAAUGCGCAGAUAUCAGGAAGAACACCCGUGGCUAAGGCGGCUCUCUAGUACGGUACUGACGCUGAGACGCGAAAGCGUGGGGGAGCGAACAGG